AAAGGGAGACCUAAUUCCAGUAGGAGACGAAAAAAAAGUAGUCCCUACCAAGAAUCAAUCCCAAAAGGUCGGAGCGAGGCAAAAUUGGCUUUCAAACUAGGUUCUGGGUUCACACAAGACCUGAAUCAGGAACAAGGGCUAUUAGCUCGGGUGGUUAGAGCGCACCCCUGAUAAGGGUGAGGUCCCUGGUUCGAGUCCAGGAUGGCCCACCUGCACAGGUGGAAGAAAGAAAAGAAGCUCCGAAUCAGCACCUUAUCUUACUUAUAUAGUAAGAGAGAAUGCUGGCUCUGAGUACAGAGUCCAGAGGAACCUUGAAAACUGCAUAGAGCUAGGUGGAAAAGCCAAAAAAGAAGACCGCAAG
rnacentral:tRNA from 1 species